rnacentral:lncRNA from 1 species
AUGUCAAGCACUGUCUUUAUUAUAAUACAUUUCCAAGAAUCUAUAAGAAGUCUGCUCUACCUUGCAGGUUUGGCUAUCCGUCCCAAGCACUGGACCACAAAAAUAUGGAGAUGGACCAAAAUUUGGCGUGCAGGAAAUAAAGGUAGUCUCAGAAGAAAAAAGAAAACACACACAAAAAAAAGAAAAGAAAAAUCAUGCGUAUUCUGGUAAAGUCACUGGACCAGAUUUUGCUAAGGAAAAUCUAGAUGAUAUGCCUGAGGGGUCUUUCUUUCUGACUUUAGUCUAGAGAGCCACCCUGACUCUAGUUUUCUGAGGGGAAUGAGGAUUGGUGGUGUGACAGGAAAAAAAAUAUUUUCUAGGCACAGCACUAUGUUCAUGUUUUGACAAGCAGUUGUGUUCCCUCUCGAUGCCAUGUUUGUGUGCAUGGACAGUGGGGUGUGUCUAUAUGUGAAUUUAAGUGGUGUGAUUGUGUGCAUGUCUGUGUUUCCCCUAGAGUUAUAUCUCCCUUACACAGCAAACCUGCAAGUGUCAGCUUUCUCCAUUAAUAAUCCCUUCACCAUUGCUCCCUUGGGCAUAUCUGUCUUCUAGCUGGGUGUACUACAAUUCAGUUCUGAUGAUCACCACACAGACUGUAUCUGAUCCCACAAGUCCAGGACAAAACCUUCCACCUGACUGCCCUUACUUGAGAUACCAGCUGCACUUUACGGAUGUGCAGGCCACUGUGAAUUCAGAGAUUACCAACACUGCCACCCUAAGACUCAAUAAUUCACUAGAAAUACCUCACAGAACUUAGGAAAACACUACAUUUACUAUUCGCUUAUAAAGGACACACCUAGGGCAAGGUGUAUGGGGGGAAGGUGGCGGGGAGCAGGGUCCUAGAAGCAUAGCUUCCACGCCCUUUCUCCUGGGAGUCACAGGGUGUCUUCCCUUCAGCCCAUCAAUUGUUCACAAACCUGGGAGUUCCACUGAGCUUUGGUGUUCAGGGUUUUUAUUGGACUUUCAUUGUAAGUAGACAUGAUUGAUUAAAGACUUGGCUAUAUGACUGAAGUCAGUCUCUAGUCCCCACCCCCACCUUCCUGGAGGUUGGUUGGCCCAAACAACCCUCUCAUAACGUGGUUGGUCUUUCACUCUCAUCCAUAAGCUGUCCAGGGCCCACACUGAGCCCCCUCAUUGGCAUAACAAAGGCAAUCUUAUGCAGGAAAUUUCAAGG